rnacentral:rRNA from 1 species
UACGAAGGGUGCAAGCGUUACUCGGAAUUACUGGGCGUAAAGGGUGCGUAGGUGGUUGUUUAAGUCUGUUGUGAAAGCCCCGGGCUCAACCUGGGAAUGGCAAUGGAUACUGGACAGCUAGAGUGCGGUAGAGGGUAGUGGAAUUCCCGGUGUAGCAGUGAAAUGCGUAGAGAUCGGGAGGAACACCAGUGGCGAAGGCGGCUCCCUGGACCAGCACUGACACUGAAGCACGAAAGCGUGGGGAGCAAACAGG